rnacentral:rRNA from 1 species
AUUGAACGCUGGCGGCAUGCCUUACACAUGCAAGUCGAACGCGAAAGGGGGGCAACUCCUGAGUAGAGUGGCGCACGGGUGAGUAAUGCAUCGGAACGUGUCCUGUAGCGGGGGAUAACCUAGCGAAAGCUAGGCUAAUACCGCAUACGCCCUGAGGGGGAAAGUGGGGGAUCGUAAGACCUCACACUAUAGGAGUGGCCGAUGCCGGAUUAGCUAGUUGGUGGGGUAAAGGCCUACCAAGGCGACGAUCCGUAGCUGGUCUGAGAGGAUGAUCAGCCACACUGGGACUGAGACACGGCCCAGACUCCUACGGGAGGCAGCAGUGGGGAAUUUUGGACAAUGGGGCAACCCUGAUCCAGCCAUGCCGCGUGAGUGAAGAAGGCC